rnacentral:rRNA from 1 species
AUUGAACGCUGGCGGCAGGCCUAACACAUGCAAGUCGAGCGGGAACUUCGGUUCUAGCGGCGGACGGGUGAGUAAUGCGUAGGAAGCUACCCGACAGAGGGGGAUACCAGUUGGAAACGACUGUUAAUACCGCAUAAUGUCUACGGACCAAAGUGUGGGACCUUCGGGCCACAUGCUGUCGGAUGCGCCUACGUGGGAUUAGCUAGUUGGUGAGGUAAUGGCUCACCAAGGCGACGAUCCCUAGCUGGUUUGAGAGGAUGAUCAGCCACACUGGAACUGAGACACGGGCCAGACUCCUACGGGAGGAAGCAGUGGGGAAUAUUGGACAAUGGGCGCAAGCCUGAUCCAGCCAUGCCGCGUGUGGGAAGAAGGCCUUCGGGUUGUAAAGCACUUUCAGUAGGGAGGAAGGGGUUGUAGUUAAUAGCUGCAACUUUUGACGUUACCUGCAGAAGAAGCACCGGCUAACUCUGUGCCAGCCGCCGCCGUAACAC